rnacentral:rRNA from 1 species
UACGAAGGGGGCUAGCGUUGUUCGGAAUUACUGGGCGUAAAGAGCGCGUAGGCGGUCUAUCAAGUUGGAAGUGAAAGCCCAAGGCUUAACCUUGGAAUUGCUUUCAAAACUAGUAGACUAGAGAAUGGUAGAGGAUGGUGGAAUUCCUAGUGUAGAGGUGAAAUUCUUAGAUAUUAGGAGGAACAUCGGAGGCGAAAGCGGCCAUCUGGACCAUUUCUGACGCUGAGGUGCGAAAGCGUGGGGAGCAAACAGG